UUGACUCCAGUAAUGCAUGUUAUGGUGGAACAACCUCCCUCUUGAAUUGGUGUAACUUCGAUCGAAAGUCGAUGUUGGGAUGAACGUUACGGCCUUGUAGUCUGCACAGAUAGCACGGUUAGUCACCCAGCAUGGCCAUCUAACUGUUGCACUAAGUGGAUUCAUUUUCUCUUCCUUUUGUCUCCGUGCAACACUCAUUUGCUAUCCCAUAUUAUGUUUAGGUUUAUGCAGAGGGGCCAGCUCGGCCUAUGGGUGGAGCUGCUACAGUUGCUAUGCUUAUUGGUCCAAAUGCAUCUAUUUCUUUCGAAAGCAAAUAUAGAGCUUCUCACAUGACUCAUGUUUACGAUCUCUACAAGCCUCAUCUUGCAAGUGAAUAUCCGGUUAGGGUUCUAUCACUUGUUUUUGUUUGUUUGUUUUAGGCAUCUAAAUAAACAAUUUUCUCAACCAGAUGCCAUUUUUGCCUAUUUCAUAGUAUUAUAUCAUCUGUACACAUUAUAGCUAGGUUGUUAAUGGGGAACUUUAUCAAACAUGCGAUUGAGGACCAUAUAGUUCCUAAUAAAAAGAAGCCUCAUAUAGUUUGUCUAUAUAUGGUUCCUAAUAAAAAAACCUCAUAUGCAGGUUGGGGACAUAGGUGUGUGGUUGCUGAGUUAACUGCGUCAUUUUGAAGUUCUGAUAAGAAAAAUCCACAGUCGCCAUGCUAUUAUGUCCUUUUUAAGUGGCCUGAAUUCGCUCGUGCUUGGUGCAGCGAGAUGCAUGGCGCUGCGGGAGUUGUGGCGGACAUGGACAGAUGAAUUCACAUGAUCUUGAGAUUGCAUGGAACCCUAUGUUAUUGACACAUAAGGUGUAUGAUCUCGACCUCACUGAACCAUGUCUUGGUAAAUUUAUCGGUUCCUUACAUCUGUCCGUGUAACUUCGAACCCAGUUUAGACAUACUCAGUUUCACAGGGCAGACGAGUAAGGAAAAGCAAUUGAUGUUGUUAAGAAGCAUUGGGGAAAGUAUGUAUCUUGCCUCGAAUCUCUUAUGUCUGUUAUUUCAAUUGCUUGUAUGAUAAAAAUUACUGCGUGAAGAUUUUGCUUUUGCAGUUUGCCUGGUUUAAUGCUCUAUUCAUUUACUUUGCAGCUCAUAACACUUCUGUUGAAACUACUUGUGAGCAGAUGUUUGCGCCAUUAAUGUCGACCAUUAUAUUGGAGAACCUGAGUGUAAAUAAAUUUGCAUCUUGUUUGUUUCAAGAACCUGAGUGUUGUUACAGAAUAACAUAUUAGCUAAUCUCAAUUUCUUAGGGUGACACCUGUUGCACCAAUUGACAUUGUUGACAGCAUAACAAAAGAAGCUUGAACUAAUAUUAAGUUUUGCAAUUGAGAAGAGGAGCGCGAGGGAAUAUGAUGUGACAUGUGAGUAUCUUCUCUCUAUGUAACUACAUCAUUGGUAAUUUGUAUUCUUUCACUAUUUGUCAUACAGUUCCACCAAAUGUCACAAGUACCUAAUACAAACCAAGGGCUUCCUUUAAUAGCUAUAUGUUUUACAUCACCGAGAAACAAAUUCUACAAUAAUGUUGGUAAGCAUCAUAUUCACAUGCCACAGCCAAAAAGAGCAAGCACAUAGUAUUCUAAGAAUGGCCCAUAAAACUAAGCGAUGUAGCAGAGGAAGGUGGCAAACCUUAAUCACAACACGACAUCCGCUAGCAACUGAUGGAUUGAACAAUACCUGGAAGAAGAACAUAGCAAUACACACAUCAAAAAGAGGCCAAGACAUGGACUGGAUCAAAUGCAUAUCCUACCGGAAAAGAAACAAUAGUUGGAGGUUCGCCAUCAUGGA
rnacentral:lncRNA from 1 species